rnacentral:rRNA from 1 species
GACGAACGCUGGCGGCGUGCUUAACACAUGCAAGUCGAACGGAAAGGCCUGCUUUCCCUUGUGGAUUGCGGGUACUCGAGUGGCGAACGGGCGAGUAACACGUGAGUGAUCUGCCCCCAACUUGGGUAUAAGCCUGGGAAACUGGGUCUAAUUCCCGAUAGGACUGCAGGGUGGUGCCUGUGGUGGAAAACGAUUUUCUAGUGGUUGGGGAUGAGCUCGCGGCCUAUCAGCUUGUUGGUGGGGUAAUGGCCUACCAAGGCGGCGACGGGUAGCCGGCCUGAGAGGGUGGACGGCCACAUUGGGACUGAGAUACGGCCCAGACUCCUACGGGAGGCAGCAGUGGGGAAUAUUGCACAAUGGGCGGAAGCCUGAUGCAGCGACGCCGCGUGGGGGAUGACGGCCUUCGGGUUGUAAACUCCUUUCGACCGCGAGGAAGCCACCUGGUUGGAAGGGUGGUGACGGUAGUGGUAGAAGAAGCACCGGCUAACUACGUG